GUCUCUUCGGGGAUGAUUAAACCGGCGCACGGGUGAGUAACACGUGAGUGACCUGCCUUUUAGACUGGAACAACUUACCGAAAGGUGAGCUAAUGCCGGAUGAGUUAUAUAAGUGCAUGUUUAUAUAGGAAAAGUUGGGGAGACCUGACGCUGAAAGAUGGACUCGCGUCCCAUUAGCUAGUUGGUAGGGUAAUGGCCUACCAAGGCGACGAUGGGUAGCCGGCCUGAGAGGGUGGCCGGCCACACUGGGACUGAGACACGGCCCAGACUCCUACGGGAGGCAGCAGUGGGGAAUUUUGCGCAAUGCUCGUAAGAGUGACGCAGCGACGCCGCGUGAAUGACGAAGGCCUUCGGGUCGUAAAGUUCUUUCGACAGGGAAGAAAAUGCCUAUAAGUAACUGUGUAUGUAUUGACGGUACCUGUAUAAGCAGCCCCGGCUAACUCCGUGCCAGCAGCCGCGGUAAUACGGAGGGGGCGAGCGUUGUUCGGAGUGACUGGGCGUAAAGAGCACGUAGGCGGUGUUGUAAGUCAUUAGUCAAAGACUAGAGCUCAACUUUAGUAAGGCUAGUGAUACUAUAAUACUAGAGUAUCAGAGAGGAUUGCAGAAUUCCUGGUGUAGCGGUGAAAUGCGUAGAUAUCAGGAGGAAUACCGUUAGCGAAGGCGGCAAUCUGGCUGGAAACCGACGCUGAGGUGCGAAAGCGUGGGUAGCAAACAGGAUUAGAUACCCUGGUAGUCCACGCUGUAAACGAUGGAUGCUAGGUGUUGGGCUUUUAAGUUCAGUGCCGCAGCAAACGCGAUAAGCAUCCCGCCUGG
rnacentral:rRNA from 1 species